rnacentral:rRNA from 1 species
CAGUUCGGAUUGUAGUCUGCAACUCGACUACAUGAAGCUGGAAUCGCUAGUAAUCGCAGAUCAGAAUGCUGCGGUGAAUACGUUCCCGGGUCUUGUACACACCGCCCGUCACACCAUGGGAGUCGGAAAUGCCCGAAGCCGGUGACCAAACCAAUAAGGAAGGAGCCGUCGAAGGCAGGUCUGAUAACUGGGGUGAAGUCGUAACAAGGUAUC